rnacentral:rRNA from 1 species
CCUACGGGUGGCAGCAGUGGGGGAUAUUGCGCAAUGGGCGAAAGCCUGACGCAGCGACGCCGCGUGAGGGAUGAAGGUCUUCGGAUCGUAAACCUCUGUCAGCAGGGAAGAACGGUCACUGUGCUAAUCAGCAGUGAAUUGACGGUACCUGCAAAGGAAGCACCGGCUAACUCCGUGCCAGCAGCCGCGGUAAUACGGAGGGUGCGAGCGUUAAUCGGAAUUACUGGGCGUAAAGCGCUCGUAGGCGGGAUGUCAAGUCAAGGGUGAAAGCCCCGCGCUCAACGUGGGAACUGCCUUUGAAACUGGCAGACUGGAGUGUGUGAAGGGAUAGUGGAAUUCCAGGUGUAGGAGUGAAAUCCGUAGAUAUCUGGAGGAACAUCAGUGGCGAAGGCGACUAUCUGGCACAUAACUGACGCUGAGGAGCGAAAGCGUGGGUAGCAAACAGGAUUAGAUACCCGGGUAGUC